rnacentral:rRNA from 1 species
CGCCUGGGGAGUACGGGUGAGGUAACGGCUCACCAAGGCAUCGACGGGUAGCUGGUCUGAGAGGACGAUCAGCCACACUGGGACUGAGACACGGCCCAGACUCCUACGGGAGGCAGCAGUAGGGAAUCUUGCGCAAUGGGCGAAAGCCUGACGCAGCAACGCCGCGUGGGGGAUGAAUGCCUUCGGGUUGUAAACCCCUUUCAGCAGGGACGAAAAUGACGGUACCUGCAGAAGAAGCUCCGGCCAACUACGUGCCAGCAGCCGCGGUAAUACGUAGGGAGCGAGCGUUGUCCGGAAUUAUUGGGCGUAAAGAGCUCGUAGGCGGUUCAGUAAGUCGGGUGUGAAAACUCAAGGCUCAACCUUGAGACGCCACUCGAUACUGCUGUGACUUGAGUCCGGUAGAGGAGUGUGGAAUUCCUGGUGUAGCGGUGAAAUGCGCAGAUAUCAGGAGGAACACCAGCGGCGAAGGCGGCACUCUGGGCCGGUACUGACGCUGAGGAGCGAAAGCAUGGGGAGCAAACAGGAUUAGAUACCCUGGUAGUCCAUGCCGUAAACGUUGGGCACUAGGUAUGGGAUCAUAUCAACGGAUUCCGUGCCGUAGCUAACGCAUUAAGUGCCCCGCCUGGGAGUACGGAAUCUCGAC